rnacentral:piRNA from 1 species
UACAGAUGGAAAACCGAGGCUCAGAGAUUA